CUAAGUGUGUAGAGGCACAAGCCGAAGAGAUAGAGUUCAACCAUGAUAUUGACCAUUAUGAGUAGGCCAAAAGAACCAAACUCAACUGGCCAACUAUGACACAUGGGAAUGAAUCACAUGCUGAAGGAUAUCAAUUUUAGUUGGAUCGUGAUCUAGCUAGUGGUUAUGCCAUACAUGGCAUCCUAGAAGUGAACCUCCAAUACCGCUGA
rnacentral:lncRNA from 1 species